CUCUCUAUGGAAACACAUCUAGACUGACAUCACUCAGCGGACAAGAUCUUUGUGGCAGGAGACACUCGUUCUGGGAACAUUCCGCUUACUAUAGGCUUCCUCUCUGGGGAAGCACGGCAAGAGAAAAAUUGGCCAUUUAAUGAAAUAGAGGCCGCUGAAGCAUUCCUGAUGAAAAGACAAGAGCUGAGAAGAAAAUGUGACUUGCAAAUUGAAGACUCAAAAGCAGCAUUCAAAGGCAGGUAGAAGCAUUCAAGCUAGAAAGAGGUUUUGGAACUGAACCAUCUGGAUGGGGAUGAUGUAAAAUUGAUAGGUGAAAAAUAUGGAUGCCCUGGGAGAUGGUAGAAGGGAGAGAAAAAUUGGAGGAAAUGAUCCCAUAAAAUAAGCAUUCAAGGAAGAGGUUUUGCCUUGGAGUGGAAAAUGAUGAUGAGGAGAGUGACCAAUUCUUGAACCUCCCUCACAUCUAAAUUGGCUCAAAGAGGGGAAAUAUCGAUAUCUGUAUUUAUAUGUACUUCUUCCAUGGGUCAAAAAAUCUAUUUUACCCUAAAGGUAAGUAGGCAAAUGGGAGAGGAGAAGAAAAAGUGGUGAUAAACGUUGGGCAGUUAAAAGAAUGCAGUGGUCAUGUGCAAAAUAGAACUUAGCAGGGGAA